CUUUUCUUGUUAGUUUUUGAAGUAUGGCCUGCCCACUGACGUUAUGUUGAAGGGCCGCGGUAUUUUGACCGUGCAAAGGUAGCAUAAUCAUUAGUUCUUUAAUUGUGAUCUGGUAUGAAUGGCUUGACGAGACAUAAGCUGUCUUAGGAGUAUUGUUUAUUGAAUUUGGUCUUUGAGUUAAAAUUCUUAAAUGUUUUUAUGGGACGAGAAGACCCUAUAGAGUUUAACAUUUUUCUUAUUUAUUUAUUGUUUGGUUAUUUUAUUAAAUAGGGGUUAGAUUGUUUUGUUGGGGUGAUGGGAGGAAGUUUAUAUAACUCUUCUUUGUUUGUUUAUAUUUAUUUAUAUUUUUU
rnacentral:rRNA from 1 species